UCUCCGAUGAUCCGCUCUUAAAGAUAAUGACCCACCGGAGAACAGCUCGCUGAAAGCCUGCACAUGCCCAAACGAACAACAGCAACAGCAGCAACGCAAUUCACACACAACAUCCAAAUCGAGCAAUUAUUGGACCCGGAAACGGCCUGUACACGAUGCCGAACCGAGCAAAACGGGUCGCCACCUCUGCAAUCCCUAAUCAGAGCCUAAACCUGCAC
rnacentral:lncRNA from 1 species